GAUGAACGCUGGCGGCGUGCCUAAUACAUGCAAGUCGAGCGAACGGACGAGAAGCUUGCUUCUCUGAUGUUAGCGGCGGACGGGUGAGUAACACGUGGAUAACCUACCUAUAAGACUGGGAUAACUUCGGGAAACCGGAGCUAAUACCGGAUGAUAUUUUGAACCGCAUGGUUCAAAAGUGAAAGACGGUCUUGCUGUCACUUAUAGAUGGAUCCGCGCUGCAUUAGCUAGUUGGUAAGGUAACGGCUUACCAAGGCAACGAUGCAUAGCCGACCUGAGAGGGGGACCGGCAACACUGGAACUGCGACACGGUCCAGACUCCGACGGGAGGAAGAAGUAGGGAAUCUUCCGCAAGGGGCGAAAGCCGGACGGAGCACCGCGGGGUGAGUGAUGAAGGUCUUCGGAUCGAAAAACUCUGUUAUGAGGGAAGAACAUAUGUGUAAGUAACUGUCCACCUCUUGAGGGUACCUAAUAAGAAAGCCAGGGCUAACUACGCG
rnacentral:rRNA from 1 species